CAGCAGCCGCGGUGAUACGUAGGGUGCGAGCGUUGUCCGGAUUUAUUGGGCGUAAAGAGCUUGUAGGCGGUUGGUUGCGUCGAAAGUGCAAACUCAGGGCUUAACUCUGAGCCUGCUUUCGAUACGGGCUGACUGGAGGAAGGUAGGGGAGAAUGGAAUUCCCGGUGGAGCGGUGGAAUGCGCAGAUAUCGGGAGGAACACCAGUGGCGAAGGCGGUUCUCUGGACCUUUCCUGACGCUGAGAAGCGAAAGCGUGGGGAGCAAACAGGCUUAGAUACCCUGGUAGUCCACGCUGUAAACGGUGGGUACUAGGUGUGGGGGACAUUCCACGUUCUCUGUGCCGUAGCUAACGCAUUAAGUACCCCGCCUGGGGAGUACGGCCGCAAGGCUAAAACUCAAAGGAAUUGACGGGGCCCCGCACAAGCGGCGGAGCAUGCGGAUUAAUUCGAUGCAACGCGAAGAACCUUACCUGGGUUUGACAUAUAUCGGAAACGUUCAGAGAUGGGCGCCCCGUAAGGUCGGUAUACAGGAGGUGCAUGGCC
rnacentral:rRNA from 1 species